UGCGUGUGGUAAUUUGAACAUCUUUAUUUUCUGACUAACGUUAGGCAUUUCUCUUAAGCAUUUCAGAAAUCAUUAAAACCUUUCUUUUUUUUUUUAGCACAGCGACAUAAAUAUGACCAACCAGAUCCCAAGUAGACAGGAACAAAUGAAGAUAUAGCGCAUAGAAAGACUAAUUCUUGGUGAUCAACUGCUAUUGACAUUUUUGAAUCGGGACAAUUGUGGAGUGAUUCGGAAGAAAAACGUUUGCAACACAUCCAUUCCAGAGUGCUCUGACAGAUAAAACUGACACGCUUGAUGAGGACACAGUCAAAGCUUUAAAAGCCCGUGUGAUAAAGCAGUCUUCUAUUACUACGGUGUCUGAAUUGCAAGAAGUGACCCUCCACUUAAACAUGUGAUAUCUAAACUGUUUUGUGUUUUAGUUCAGCUUUUUAUAGGUUUAUCUUAAGUUGGUUAAAG